rnacentral:lncRNA from 1 species
AACUAGGAAAAAUUAUAGAGGAAAAAAUAUUAAAUUUUAUUUAUUUUUUGGAUUUCAAACAAAACCUGUGUUGGAGAAAAGUCCGAAAAGCAAUUUGAUUAAAAAAAAUAUGAGCAAAAUACAAUUUUUAUUUAUUUUGAUUAGAAUAAUGAAAUUUGAUUGAAUUCAUGAUUUGGGCCCAGACAUAGAAAAAUGGAUUUUUUUUAAUUAUAUGUCUUCAAUAUUUUUUGUCAAAAUCUUUUACUAUUUUAAUUCGUGAUAAAUCGAAAAGUAUUUUUUUAAAGCCUUGAACCUUUGACCUUUAUUUUUUGAGCUCAAGAUAAAUGUGGAGUGAGAUUAGUAAAAUACAAGCAGCUAAUCAAGUCAAACACGAUUGAGCUCCAAUAAUUGGUCCAAGAAGGCAUACACUGGGAUUUGAAUUACUUGUUUAGUUUCAGAAAAUCACUUUUACAAGUUGUCAUUCAAAUCAUUAGAAUAUAGAUAUAUUGAGGUAAAUUAUACUUUCCAAACGAGUUAUUGAUUGUUAAAAAAAUAGAAUACACAAUUUUAUGUUAUGAACCAUUCAAAAUACUAGUUUGUACCAAAUUUACUGGCCGGCAUCAUCUAUGAUAUUUUAGUAAAUUUUGGAGUUUUAAAAGAAAUUUUUAGUAAAUUCUGAACUCUAAUGAGUUUCAAAAGGGUAUUUUCACUUGAAAUCUAUAGGUUUUUUUGAAUUAUUUUAAAAUUAUGACGUGUGAUUAAAUAUCAUAUUAUUUACCAUUCUAAUAACUCUAGUAAAAAAAUGUGUGAAAUAUAUAUAUAUAUAGGAACAGUAUGUUUGACAACUUUUCUUUCCAACCACUUUUGUCAAAAUUUCACUUUACAUCGUCGAUAUCAGUUAACCACUUGCAAUAUAGAUCAAAUAUUAAUUUAGCCCUUCUAUGUUUUCUUCGUUGUUCAAUUAAGGCCCAGCUUGCGGUAUUAAUUUUUUUUGAUUUUUUUUAGUUCCUUGAUUUUCUAGUUUUUGUUUUCACCAGUUGAUUAAAAAUUUAUAAUUUUUCAGUUUCUCUUGAUAAAAAAAGUCUGAAAAUGUAAUUUUUUUUAUCUAAUUUGAGAAAAAAAUUCACUGAAAAUAAAAAAUAUUUUAUUUUAUUUUAUAUUUAAACAUUGGCUGUUAAUUUUUAUUUUAAAUUCAAAAUAUAUUUUACUCAAAUUUAAUUAUUGUUAAUAGAAU